rnacentral:sRNA from 1 species
UCAACAGAUGCGUGCAGAUGUUCUCGC